GACGAACGCUGGCGGCGUGCUUAACACAUGCAAGUCGAACGGUGAAGCCCUUCGGGGUGGAUCAGUGGCGAACGGGUGAGUAACACGUGAGCAACCUGCCCUUGACUCUGGGAUAACUUCGGGAAACCGGAGCUAAUACCGGAUAUGACACAUGGCUGCAUGGUCUGUGUGUGGAAAGAUUUAUCGGUCAGGGAUGAGCUCGCGGCCUAUCAGCUUGNGGUGGGGUAAUGGCCUACCAAGGCGACGACGGGUAGCCGGCCUGAGAGGGCGACCGGCCACACUGGGACUGAGACACGGUCCAGACACCUACGGGUGGCAGCAGUCGAGAAUUUUUGACAAUGGGGGAAACCCGUACGAUCGAGCGACGCCGCGUGGAGGAUGAAGGUCUUCGGGUUUGGUAAACUACCUGUCAUUUGUAGAACAAGGUGCACCGGUUAACUGCCGGUGCAUUGAUAGUAUCAGAAGAGGAAGAGACGG
rnacentral:rRNA from 1 species